GCGCUCGUAGCUCAACCAGGCAGAGCACUGGGCUUUUAACCCAUCGGUUGUAGGUUCGAUUCCUACCGGGCGUACCC
rnacentral:tRNA from 1 species